rnacentral:rRNA from 1 species
ACGAACGCUGGCGGCGUGCCUAAUACAUGCAAGUCGAGCGGACUAAUUAAGAGCUUGCUCUUAUGAGGUUAGCGGCGGACGGGUGAGUAACACGUGGGCAACCUGCCCUGUAGACUGGGAUAACAUCGAGAAAUCGGUGCUAAUACCGGAUAAUUGUUGGAACUGCAUAGUUCUAACUUAAAAGAUGGCUCCGGCUAUCACUAUAGGAUGGGCCCGCGGCGCAUUAGCUAGUUGGUAAGGUAAUGGCUUACCAAGGCGACGAUGCGUAGCCGACCUGAGAGGGUGAUCGGCCACACUGGGACUGAGACACGGCCCAGACUCCUACGGGAGGCAGCAGUAGGGAAUCUUCCGCAAUGGACGAAAGUCUGACGGAGCAACGCCGCGUGAGUGAUGAAGGUUUUCGGAUCGUAAAGCUCUGUUGUUAGGGAAGAACAAGUGCCGUUCGAAUAGGGCGGCACCUUGACGGUACCUAACCAGAAAGCCACGGCUAACUACGUG